GACGAACGCUGGCGGCGUGCUUAACACAUGCAAGUCGAACGGAAAGGCCCUGCUUUUGUGGGGUGCUCGAGUGGCGAACGGGUGAGUAACACGUGAGUAACCUGCCCUUGACUUUGGGAUAACUUCAGGAAACCGGGGCUAAUACCGGAUAGGAGCUCCUGCUGCAUGGUGGGGGUUGGAAAGUUUCGGCGGUUGGGGAUGGACUCGCGGCUUAUCAGCUUGUUGGUGGGGUAGUGGCUUACCAAGGCUUUGACGGGUAGCCGGCCUGAGAGGGUGACCGGCCACAUUGGGACUGAGAUACGGCCCAGACUCCUACGGGAGGCAGCAGUGGGGAAUAAUGCACAAUGGGCGGAAGCCUGAUGCAGCAACGCCGCGUGCGGGAUGACGGCCUUCGGGUUGUAAACCGCUUUCGCCUGUGACGAAGCGUGAGUGACGGUAAUGGGUAAAGAAGCACCGGCUAACUACGUG
rnacentral:rRNA from 1 species